GACGGAGGAGGCUAGCGUUGUUCGGAAUUACUGGGCGUAAAGCGUACGCAGGUGGCGAAGCAAGUCGGAUGUGAAAGCCCGGGGCUCAACCCCGGAUGUGCAUCCGAUACUGUUUUGCUGGAGUCCGGAAGAGGAGAGCGGAAUUCCCAGUGUAGAGGUGAAAUUCGUAGAUAUUGGGAAGAACACCGGUGGCGAAGGCGGCUCUCUGGUCCGGUACUGACACUCAAGUACGAAAAGCGUGGGGAGCAAACAGG
rnacentral:rRNA from 1 species